AUACGGAGGGUGCGAGCGUUAUCCGGAUUUAUUAGGUUUAAAGGGUGUGUAGGCGGGAGCCUAAGUCAGUGGUGAAAUCUCGCAGCUUAACUGUGAAACUGCCAUUGAAACUGGGUUUCUUGAGUAUAGUUGAGGUAGGCGGAAUGUGUAAUGUAGCGGUGAAAUGCAUAUAUAUUACACAGAACACCGAUUGCGAAGGCAGCUUACUAAGCUAUUACUGACGCUGAUGCACGAAAGCGUGGGUAGCGAACAGGAUUAGAAACCCCAGUAGUCC
rnacentral:rRNA from 1 species